CUUCAACGAACCCAGCCACAGCGGCCGUUGGGUUCCUCGGCCCUGCCCGUACGUGGCCAGCAGCGCCUGUGCCUC
rnacentral:antisense_RNA from 2 species